CCUACGGGUGGCAGCCGUGAGGAAUAUUGGUCAAUGGACGCAAGUCUGAACCAGCCAUGCCGCGUGCAGGAAGACGGCUCUAUGAGUUGUAACCUGCUUUUGUACGAGGGUAAACGCAGAUACGCGUAUCUGUCUGAAAGUAUCGUACGAAUAAGGAUCGGCUAACUCCGUGUCAGCAGCCGCGGUAAUACGGAGGAUUCAAGCGUUAUCCGGAUUUAUUGGGUUUAAAGGGUGCGUAGGCGGUCGGAUAAGUUAGAGGUGAAAUCCCGAGGCUCAACUUCGGAAUUGCCUCUGAUACUGUCGGGCUAGAGUUUAGUUGCGGUAGGCGGAAUGUAUGGUGUAGCGGUGAAAUGCAUAGAGAUCAUACAGAACACCGAUUGCGAAGGCAGCUUACCAAACUACGACUGACGUUGAGGCACGAAAGCGUGGGGAGCAAACAGGAUUAGAUACCCGGGUAGUC
rnacentral:rRNA from 1 species